UACAGAGGUCUCAAGCGUUGUUCGGAUUCAUUGGGCGUAAAGAGCUUGUAGGCGGUUUGUCGCGUCUGCUGUGAAAUCUCAAGGCUCAACCUUGAGCUUGCAGUGGGUACGGGCAGACUAGAGUGUGGUAGGGGGAGACUGGAAUUCCUGGUGUAACGGUGAAAUGCGCAGAUAUCAGGAGGAACACCGGUGGCGAAGGCGGGGUCUCUGGGCCCGAUACUGACGCUGAGGAGCGAAAGCGUGGGGAGCGAACAGG
rnacentral:rRNA from 1 species